rnacentral:rRNA from 1 species
CCUACGGGAGGCAGCAGUGGGGAAUAUUGGUCAAUGGACGAAAGUCUGAACCAGCCAAGUAGCGUGAAGGAUGACUGCCCUAUGGGUUGUAAACUUCUUUUAUGGAGGAAUAAAGCGAAGCGCGUAUGCCUUUUUGCAUGUACUUUAUGAAUAAGGAUCGGCUAACUCCGUGCCAGCAGCCGCGGGAAUACGGAGGAUCCGAGCGUUGUCCGGAUUUAUUGGGUUUAAAGGGAGCGUAGAUGGGUUGUUAAGUCAGUUGUGAAAGUUUGCGGCUCAACCGUAAAAUUGCAAUUGAUACUGGCAGUCUUGAGUACAGUUGAGGUAAGCGGAAUUCGUGGUGUAGCGGUGAAAUGCUUAGAUAUCACGAAGAACACCGAUGGCGAAGGCAGCUUACUAAACUGUGACUGACAUUGAUGCUCGAAAGUGUGGGUAGCAAACAGGAUUAGAUACCCGAGUAGUC